rnacentral:rRNA from 1 species
UUCAACGUAUGACGCAGUCUGAUGGAGCACGCCGCGUGAGUGAAGAAGGGUUUCGGCUCGUAAAGCUCUGUUGUUAAAGAAGAACGUGGGUGAGAGUAACUGUUCACCCAGUGACGGUAUUUAACCAGAAAGCCACGGCUAACUACGUGCCAGCAGCCGCGGUAAUACGUAGGUGGCAAGCGUUAUCCGGAUUUAUUGGGCGUAAAGCGAGCGCAGGCGGUCUUUUAAGUCUAAUGUGAAAGCCUUCGGCUCAACCGAAGAAGUGCAUUGGAAACUGGGAGACUUGAGUGCAGAAGAGGACAGUGGAACUCCAUGUGUAGCGGUGAAAUGCGUAGAUAUAUGGAAGAACACCAGUGGCGAAGGCGGCUGUCUGGUCUGUAACUGACGCUGAGGCUCGAAAGCAUGGGUAGCGAACAGGAUUAGAUACCCCCGGUAGUCA